rnacentral:rRNA from 1 species
ACGGGGGGUGCGAGCGUUGUCCGGAAUCACUGGGCGUAAAGGGCGCGUAGGUGGUCUGAUAAGGGUGUGGUGAAAGCCCGGGGCUUAACCCCGGGUCUGCAGUCGAUACGGGCAGGCUAGAGUUCGGUAGGGGAGAUCGGAAUUCCUGGUGUAGCGGUGAAAUGCGCAGAUAUCAGGAGGAACACCGGUGGCGAAGGCGGAUCUCUGGGCCGAUACUGACGCUGAGGAGCGAAAGCGUGGGGAGCGAACAGGA